AUUGAACGCUGGCGGCAGGCCUAACACAUGCAAGUCGAGCGGCAGCGGGAAAGUAGCUUGCUACUUUUGCCGGCGAGCGGCGGACGGGUGAGUAAUGCCUGGGAAAUUGCCCAGUCGAGGGGGAUAACAGUUGGAAACGACUGCUAAUACCGCAUACGCCCUACGGGGGGAAGCAGGGGACCUUCGGGCCUUGCGCGAUUGGAUAUGCCCAGGUGGGAUUAGCUAGUUGGUGAGGUAAUGGCUCACCAAGGCGACGAUCCCUAGCUGGUCUGGGAGGAUGAUCAGCCACACUGGAACUGAGACACGGUCCAGACUCCUACGGGAGGCAGCAGUGGGGAAUAUUGCACAAUGGGGGAAACCCUGAUGCAGCCAUGCCGCGUGUGUGAAGAAGGCCUUCGGGUUGUAAAGCACUUUCAGCGAGGAGGAAAGGUUGAUGCCUAAUACGUAUCAACUGUGACGUUACUCGCAGAAGAAGCACCGGCUAACUCCGUGCCAGCCGCCGCAGUAAGAC
rnacentral:rRNA from 1 species